AUGAACGCUGGCGGCGUGCCUAAUACAUGCAAGUCGAGCGAACAGACGAGGAGCUUGCUCCUCUGACGUUAGCGGCGGACGGGUGAGUAACACGUGGAUAACCUAUCUAUAAGACUGGGAUAACUUCGGGAAACCGGAGCUAAUACCGGAUAAUAUAUUGAACCGCAUGGUUCAAUAGUGAAAGACGGUUUUGCUGUCACUUAUAGAUGGAUCCGCGCCGCAUUAGCUAGUUGGUAAGGUAACGGCUUACCAAGGCAACGAUGCGUAGCCGACCUGAGAGGGUGAUCGGCCACACUGGAACUGAGACACGGUCCAGACUCCUACGGGAGGCAGCAGUAGGGAAUCUUCCGCAAUGGGCGAAAGCUUGACGGAGCAACGCCGCGUGAGUGAUGAAGGUCUUCGGAUCGUAAAACUCUGUUAUUAGGGAAGAACAAAUGUGUAAGUAACUAUGCACGUCUUGACGGUACCUAAUCAGAAAGCCACGGCUAACUACGUG
rnacentral:rRNA from 1 species